rnacentral:tRNA from 1 species
GACGAGGUGGCCGAGUGGUUAAGGCGAUGGACUGCUAAUCC